CGCCCUGGCGCCGGCUGGACGUGCACGGCGCGGGGCAGCGGGGCUCGCGGUCCGCUCUCCCUGCGGGACACCGCUGUCCGCCGGCCUUUGGAAGAAACCCUCGUGCGCUCCCGUGGGGUCUCCUUAAGGGGCGGGCUGGGCGCCCCACCCUGGACGCCACCCCGGGCGGAAUCGGACCUGGCGCUUUCCAGCCCCUGAUGUCACUGAGACCCCGCCAGUGCCCGCUGGCCCGGGCUGGCUCCCAGCUGUGCGGCCCCUGGGGGUACAGGACUGAAGACGGGUAGGAGCGGGGAUCACAGCUGUCCACUGUCAAAACGCGCCAGCGCCCCUCCCCCGUGGGAGAGGGUGCCCCGGGGACCUGGCCCAGGCUGGCUUCCAUUGGCCUUGGCACUCGGCCUGGCCAUGGGGUCCAGGUCAGGGGGAACAGUAUGUGGGAGGGGUCACUUGAGGAAGUGGCUGAAGGGAGUUUGGGCUUUUGGGGAAGAAAUCCUGGGGCUGGAGGACAGAGCCUGGGGACCGGCCAGGGGGAGCGGAGGUGCGUCGCAGGGACCUGGAGCCACAGCAGCAGGGGUCUGUUGGAUCCCAGAGGAGGCUGUGACCAGGGUCCCGGGCAGAGCCUGCCCCCUGCCCAGGGUCCUUCUUCCCAGGCUCCGCUUGUCCCUAGAGGCAGGGGCUUCCCGGGCCCAGGGUACCCCAGAGCUGGCUCAGUGCUGUCCUGAGGUGGGCCAGGCAGCCAGGAAACCAGGGCUGGGGCCAGCAUCCGUGCCUCGGAGAAGGGAGACGGAGACCCUGUUGAACUUCCGCUGUGUGGCCUCUGCGGGAGACACAAGGGAAGCUGCUCCCCAGGAACUCCAGCUGUUGGGACACCGGGGACACCGGGAAAUCAGGAGGGUCCGCUCACACCCUCCCUGCCCAGAUGUGGCAGCCGCAGGAAGGGUUCAGGCCCCCUGAUGGCAGACCCCCAGAGCCACCUGGAGCUGGGGGCCUGGAGGCGUCCUAACUGGGAUGGCUGCUCUGGGUCCCUCUUCUGGUCUCGAUGGCCACGGGACUCAGGAGAUCAUGUUCUCUGGCUCUGAGAGUGUGGCAGGGAGCUUGGCCUCCAUGCUGACAGCCUGGGCUUGUGCUUCGCGGGAGGCUUGGUGAAUGGUCCUGGGCCUGCAGGCCCCAGGGAGGUAUCCAUCCUGCCCCUCCAGAUCCUGGGCUUCCUCCCUGGCACCUUGGACCCUGCACUUCCCCUAAGUGCUCUGGGCACCUGAGGAAGCCGACUGCAGGCCGGGGCUCUGUGCUCCUCAGUGUGGCCUCGUCCCCCAGAUCAGAGGCCCGGCUCCGUUGUGGUUUGUCUUUGAUUAAUAAAAAAUGGGGAAGCAAAUCAAUUACCCCUUCCACAAAUGCAAUUCAGACGGCAGGAAAAAAUCUCUCUUGAGGAUCAGGGAGCCUCUUUCUCUCAUGAAAAAUGUGGUGUCCUGAGAUGCCCCUGACCCAUCCUGGUGGGAACAGGGAGAAGAUUCAGAGUAUACAUAAGUUAAAACUUAGCCUAUGUUGGGGCUGGGACUGGGCUCAGCGGUAGAGCACACGCCUUGCACAUGUGAGGCCCUGGUUCGAUCCUCAGCACCGCAUAAAAAUAAAUAAAGGUACUGUGUCCAAUUACAACUAAAAAAAUUUAAAAAAAACCCAGUGUAUGUGGGGGCCCGAUGCGUGUUUGCUCCUCAGAGGUCCCUUCCCCAUGGGGGCCGUGGGCUCCUGAGGCUCGGGCACUCUCUUCGCCUGGCUCCUCACCCCUUGGAUUGGAUUUCAGGGCUGAUAUUCUGAGGGUUUCCCAGGUGUCUGCUGAUCAGAAUCUUCUGGAAGUUGGUUAAAUGCAGAUUCUUGGCCCCUCCUCCCUGAGAUCCUGAUACAGGGUCCAAGGAGGGACCCAGGAAUGUGGAUUUCAGGCCAUCCCGAGGCGGUGUGGUGGGCAUCCGCCGAGACCACGCCCCAGAGCAGAGGGCAGCCUCGGAGCACGGAGGACACAGACGGGGCGCAGCAGCACCAGCCCAAUACCAGCUCAGCUCCUGCUGAAUGACGUUGGUGAUGUCCCUUCCUUUGUCCGCGAAGCAGUGACCUAUCCAGGUUGCCCGGGGCUGGGUGUGUGGGUCAUGUUCAGCAGGGGGGAGCUUGGGGCUGGGGACUGAACCUAGGUGCUCUACCACAGAGCCACAUCCCCAGCCGCUUUUAUUUAUUUUGAUGCAGGGUUUUGCCGAGUCGCCCAGGCUGGCCUUGAACCUGGGGUCCUCCUGCCCUAGGCUCCGAGUAGCUGGGAUGGCAGGUGCGUGCCACUGUGCCGGGCUGGCUUUAGAUUUUUUUUUUUUUUUAUUGCUGUCUAAAUGACCGCGGGUCAUUGCUGUAAUGCACACUGCAGAACUGGGGGCCAGUCAGAGCUGGGGACACGCUUGGGGUCUGGGAUGUGGCUUGGAACACCUGCAGGGAGAGGGCAGAGACGGCCGGCAUGGUGUGACUCCAGAGCUCCUGCCGUGUGAGCCCCGGCGGCCCCAGUGGACCGCUCCCUCACGCCCUCUGUUCUGCAGCACCCCACGUCUGACGGCCCCACAGCGUGGCUCCUGGGGCAGGUUCACCUGUACGUCUCCUCCUUGGGGCUGGGUCUGUGGAAGGGCCCUCUGUCUUCGUUCCCCCCGCUGGGCUGCCGUCCUCCGGGCUGGCCAGCCUGGGGGAACUCGGGAAGGCGGGCAGGGCUCUUUCUACCUGCCGGGCACCAUCCUGGAACCAGGUCCCCAUUCAGGCAUUUCCAUUCUCCUCCAGGAACAGGCAGGCCGUCCCUCCCUGGCCAUCAGGGGACUCCAGCCCCUGGUCAGAGAGCUUGGGAAGGGGACAUUCACGUGACCCAAGGCAGGCCAUGAGACCCAAUCCUGGGAAUGUAGCUCUCUUUCUUCGGGGAGCCCGGGCUGGCAGGACAGAAAGCCGGAGUUCCCGGAGUCGGCCGCGUGGACAGCUUAAGCCAAGAUGAAGCCAGACAGUCACAGAGCUGAGAGAUGGAGCCGGCAGGGAGACACCCGGGAACCUUGUUGGAGCACCUGGAUCCAGCUUUGCCUGAGGCCAUCCACCUCUUUUGGCUUAGGACAGCUGGCAUUGUUUCUGUACUUGCAACUGGUUCUAAGGCAGAGAGUGUGUGUCACUUCCACCUGUCCGUCUGUACACCAGUCUGUUCCGCAGGGCUGAGCACCUGCCCAUACCAACCCCUCCUGGUACCAGGCCUCCAUUUGAAAGGGGAGGUGGCAAGGUGACCCUAGAGCUUCUGCCAAGGCGAG
rnacentral:lncRNA from 1 species